GUCCACGCCUUAAACUAUGAAUACUAAGUGUCGGCGGGUUACCGCCGGUGCCGCAGCUAACGCAUUAAGUAUUCCGCCUGGGAAGUACGGCCGCAAGGUUGAAACUAAAAGGAAUUGACGGGGCCGCACAAGCGGUGGAGCAUGUGGUUUAAUUCGACGCAACGCGAAGAACCUUACCCAGGCUGGACAUGCAGGUAGUAGAAGGGUGAAAGCCCAACGAGGUAGCAAUACCAUCCUGCUCAGGUGCUGCAUGGCUGUCGU
rnacentral:rRNA from 1 species